UACGUAGGGUGCAAGCGUUGUCCGGAAUUAUUGGGCGUAAAGAGCUCGUAGGCGGUUUGUCGCGUCUGCUGUGAAAACUCGGGGCUUAACCUCCAGCCUGCAGUGGGUACGGGCAGACUAGAGUGCGGUAGGGGAGAUUGGAAUUCCUGGUGUAGCGGUGGAAUGCGCAGAUAUCAGGAGGAACACCGAUGGCGAAGGCAGAUCUCUGGGCCGUAACUGACGCUGAGUGAGCGAAAGCCAGGGGAGCAAACGGG
rnacentral:rRNA from 1 species